GAUGAACGCUGGCGGCGUGCCUAAUACAUGCAAGUCGAGCGAACGGACGAGAAGCUUGCUUCUCUGAUGUUAGCGGCGGACGGGUGAGUAACACGUGGAUAACCUACCUAUAAGACUGGGAUAACUUCGGGAAACCGGAGCUAAUACCGGAUAAUAUUUUGAACCGCAUGGUUCAAAAGUGAAAGACGGUCUUGCUGUCACUUAUAGAUGGAUCCGCGCUGCAUUAGCUAGUUGGUAAGGUAACGGCUUACCAAGGCAACGAUGCAUAGCCGACCUGAGAGGGUGAUCGGCCACACUGGAACUGAGACACGGUCCAGACUCCUACGGGAGGCAGCAGGAGGGAAUCUUACGCAAUGGGCGAAAGCCUGACGGAGAAACGCCGCGUGAGUGAUGAAGGUCUUCGGAUCGUAAAACUCUGUUAUUAGGGAAGAACAUAUGUGUAAGUAACUGUGCACAUCUUGACGGUACCUAAUCAGAAAGCAACGGCUAACUACGUG
rnacentral:rRNA from 1 species